rnacentral:rRNA from 1 species
GACCUCCGCAAUGCGAGCAAUCGCGACGGGGGGACCCCAAGUGCCACUUUAACGGGGUGGCUUUUCUUAAGUGCUUUUGGAUAAGGGCUGGCAAGACCGGUGCCAGCCGCCGCGGUAACACCGGCAGCUCUAGUGGUAGCCAUUUUUAUUGGGCCUAAAGCGUUCGUAGCCGGUUUGAUAAGUCUCUGGUGAAAUCCUAUAGCUUAACUGGGGGACUGCUGGAGAUACUAUUAGACUUGAGGUCGGGAGAGGUUAGCGGUACUCCCAGGGUAGGGGUAAAAUCCACUGAUCCAUUGAAGACCACCAGUGGCGAAGGCGGCUUGCCAGAACGCCUCGACGGUGAGGGAUGAAAGCUGGGGGCACGAACCGGAUUAGAUACCCGGGUAGUCCUAGCCGUAACGAUGCAGACUCGGUGAUGGGCAGUGCCGCAGGGAAGCCGUUAAGUCUGCCGCC